CCUACGGGUGGCAGCAGUGGGGAAUAUUGGACAAUGGGCGAAAGCCUGAUCCAGCCAUGCCGCGUGUGUGAAGAAGGCCUUCGGGUUGUAAAGCACUUUCAGUGGGGAAGAAAGCCUUGGGGCUAAUACCCUCGAGGAAAGACAUCACCCACAGAAGAAGCACCGGCUAACUCCGUGCCAGCAGCCGCGGUAAUACGGAGGGUGCGAGCGUUAAUCGGAAUUACUGGGCGUAAAGCGCGCGUAGGCGGUCUGAUAAGCCGGUUGUGAAAGCCCCGGGCUCAACCUGGGAACGGCAUCCGGAACUGUCAGGCUAGAGUGCGGGAGAGGAAGGUAGAAUUCCCGGUGUAGCGGUGAAAUGCGUAGAGAUCGGGAGGAAUACCAGUGGCGAAGGCGGCCUUCUGGACUGACACUGACGCUGAGGUGCGAAAGCGUGGGUAGCAAACAGGAUUAGAUACCCGGGUAGUC
rnacentral:rRNA from 1 species